rnacentral:rRNA from 1 species
AUGAUGAACGCUGGCGGCGUGCCUAACACAUGCAAGUCGAGCGAUUUACUUCGGUAAAGAGCGGCGGACGGGUGAGUAACGCGUGGGUAACCUGCCCUGUACACACGGAUAACAUACCGAAAGGUAUGCUAAUACGAGAUAAUAUGCUUUUAUCGCAUGGGAGAAGUAUCAAAGCUUUUGCGGUACAGGAUGGACCCGCGUCUGAUUAGCUAGUUGGUAAGGUAACGGCUUACCAAGGCGACGAUCAGUAGCCGACCUGAGAGGGUGAUCGGCCACAUUGGAACUGAGACACGGUCCAAACUCCUACGGGAGGCAGCAGUGGGGAAUAUUGCACAAUGGGCGAAAGCCUGAUGCAGCAACGCCGCGUGAGCGAUGAAGGCCUUCGGGUCGUAAAGCUCUGUCCUCAAGGAAGAUAAUGACGGUACUUGAGGAGGAAGCCCCGGCUAACUACGUGCCAGCAGCCGCGGUAAUACGUAGGGGGCUAGCGUUAUCCGGAAUUACUGGGCGUAAAGGGUGCGUAGGUGGUUUCUUAAGUCAGAGGUGAAAGGCUACGGCUCAACCGUAGUAAGCCUUUGAAACUGGGAAACUUGAGUGCAGGAGAGGAGAGUGGAAUUCCUAGUGUAGCGGUGAAAUGCGUAGAUAUUAGGAGGAACACCGGUUGCGAAGGCGGCUCUCUGGACUGUAACUGACACUGAGGCACGAAAGCGUGGGGAGCAAACAGGAUUAGAUACCCUGGUAGUCCACGCCGUAAACGAUGAGUAUAUGCUGUCGGAGGUUACCUCCUUUGGGGGUGCAGCUUACGCAUUAAGUACUCCGCAUGGGAAGUAUGCUAGCAAGAGUGAAAGUCAAAGGAAUUGUCGGGGAAUCGCACAAGUAGCGGAGCAUGUGGUUUAAUUAGAAGCAACGAGUAGAGCCUUACCUAAGCUUGUCAUCAUUUUGG